UCCCCCAGUAACUGCGAGUGAAGAGGGAAGAGCUCAUCAUUGGAAUCUGGCAGUGUUUUCACUGUCCGAGUUGUAGAUGAGGAGUAGUCCAUCUGGACUGCAUGGCGUCCAAGUACAAUAGGCCGUCAGUGGGACAUCAUAGAGGGUGACAAUCCCGUCCUUGAUGCCAAUGUGCAAGUCCGUUACGAUGGCUAUCUCAGAGAGUCGAGCAGUUUGGGAUUUGCUGCUUAAACAUGGGAGGUAGAUUCCUUCUAAAGCUAAAUACAGGCGAGAGACCGAUAGAGAACAAGUACCGCAAGGGAAAGAUGAAAUAGCACUCUGUGAAGGGAGUCAAAAGACGUGAAAUUGUUGCGAGAGAAGCGAUUCAAGUCAGCGUAGCUAGGCCCAUCAAGCCUCUUGCUUUGGACUAGCUUUGCCAGCGGUCUUGUCCUAAGAGACUUGACUUUUAUAUGUCCAGCCUGGUAUGUACAGGUAGCCCCAU
rnacentral:rRNA from 1 species